AAAAUGCAAGUGCAGCGUUUUCAGAUUUAUUCAGUUUGGGACCCGGUUUAAAAAAAUAUCGGGUUUCACUCUCCCAAAAUGCUGGAUCCGUGUGGACGAAACACCUAUAUGAUACUAAAUUUAAGUGUAUACAGCCAAACACGUCUCUGUGUGGACGGGGCCUAACUUUCUCUACCAAGAAGUUUUAGAAGAGCUGGCCAAGCAGAAUGGAGUUCCCUCAUGUAUUUCUAACAUUACAGUGCACAAGGAAAUUGCACUUUUAAAUCCUCUCCUCGCAGUUCACUUUUCAUUCUUUCUUCGCCCUCUCUCCAUCUCUAAAACCCAUGACCUGGAGCAGAGAGCAGGGAUGAAACAAGACUCAAAACACUGGCUGGCUCUCUCUGUGUCAAUUAAAUGCUUGUGUGCUGAAAGAAGGAGAGAUAGAAAAACAGAAUUGAUUGACACUUUGGAGUUAAUCCCCAUAUCAAGGACUCCUGGAGAGACGGGAUACACUUAGAGCACAGGGGAUCAACGACGGGAGUGAAAGAGAACGAAAUCAAGGAAGGAAAGGAGAGAAGACGGAGGAAGGCUCCAGGGGGGAUGGACGCUGCUGUCCGUGCCUGAGGUGAAGGCCCCACGCUGGGCAGAGGAUGCAGCAGUGGUGGGGUUGGAGGUCUGGUGGUAUUGCUGGUGUCCUGCUGAACAAAAGGUUGAAGUUGAGACUCCUCUUUUGUCCUCACAUGUCACAACACCGUUAACCAGCAGCUGCUGCAGAAAGGCCUCAUGGGAAGGCCUCCCCUAUACCUGUGCUAAAAGCUUUUCCUUCAGUUAAAGUGAAGGAGAAGAAAGGAAAGAAAGGGAGAAAGAAAACAAAAACAGAGGAAAUCAAGGGAACAGACCCUUGGGCAGACACUUUUUUCCCCUCGUUCAAAGGAUCCGCCGGAUCAGCCGGAGACUUCAUGUGAAACCUGAUAAUGUCAGUGGUCAUAGAAGCAUUUACAGGUGGCAUACACAUUACUCUCUGUCACUUUUCCUCGCUCCCCACCCCCCUCUCCUUCUGCGAGACAGAAAAUCACAAAUGCUUUUCUUUCCCUCGGGAAGACUUUGUUCUGAAGUGCUCUGGGAUCAUUGUUGUGGCUCUCCUUCAAGCAUGUUUCAUUUUUAAACAGUUUCCUCUCUGUGAUCUCAGAUCUGCUCCUCUCUCUGAGAAGGCCGAUAAACAGACAAACUAUUUAACCGGCGCAAGACAAGAGAUUUUUAGAAUGAUCGCAAGUCAAAGCCAUAUGUUCUCCACUCUCUUUCUCUCCCUCUCGCUAAUGAGUGUAUUUCUCAGCUCCUCGGCGGAUUAGGCUCGCAAAGAAAGAGCGGAGGAAAGAAAAGAUCCAAUUGAGAGACGGCGAGGUCCGCCGAGCUCAAUGGAAGAGAAAAGCGGGCGAGAAAAAGGGGCAGAGAGGUAGAAUGGCAUGAUCUGCAGGGGGCAGACCCUCACUCCAGGACCUUCCUCUCUUUCUGUCGUCUCUUUUCCCCCCUGUCCUCCUCCGCUCUGCCUUUGGGAUUCGAAUGCAGUCUCAUUAGUUUUUAUUGGAUUGAAAUGUUUCGCGAGGUCUGCGCUCACGUAGAGUUUGGUGGUGGGAUUCGAGAGGCUAAGAGUGCGCCAAAUAAGUUGUAUCCUUUUGCCUUUCUAUAGCUCGGCUUUUCACAAGCUCAUUCCCAUCCCUCCUUCUGCGCCCGCUAAUUGUGCUGUCGUCUUCACGCUUCAGUUUGCGGUGAAACUGCUUAGAAGUUCAAAUAAAGGAGCCGUUUUCUCUCUCUGCACACUUCAGUUCUCUGUUCGUGCUUUUCUGAGCGCAAAUUGAUGUGUUUGACUCUCAUGAGAGACUAAGGGAAUGGGGACACAUUUUAAAUAUUUAUUUAUGUCCAGCUUAUUAAGACAAUGCAAA